AAAGAAACUAACAAAGUAGAACUACCAAACCAAUAUUUAUUAGAGCCAUAGCUGAGUGAAAAACACUUCAGUCAAAUGGUGAGGAAGAGGAAACUAAAAUCUAGUCUGUAAUGUUUUACAAAGGCGUUGGAUGAGAAUCAUGCUGCAGCCCUGCAAGUAGAAGUGUAGAAGUGUAUGCUCAAAAAGCCCAGGAAGCCUAGACAGCCUGGUAGAGUGCUCCUUAAUAUAUUCCCGAAUGGGUAUUCCUGCCACUUUAUAGGCUAUUUUGAAUCGCUGAAGUUAUCCAUCUUCUAAUGAUUGAUGUUGAGGCAGGUUGACUAUAUACAAGAAUUAGCUUUUUUGUCUUUCUGAUGUAUUUAGUUCUAUCCAGGUAGAUUCUUAGGGCUCUGACUACAUCCGGGUUUUGCCACAUCUCCUCUUCUUUAUAAGUGGGAUUCGGAAACAAUGAAGGGAGGACAGUUUUCUGGUUAUUGUGGAACAAGUUUUCGAAUAAAUUCUGGGAAAUUCUAUUUUUGGGAGAACUGCUGUUGACCCAAUUAUUGUGUAAAUGGAGCUUCUGAUGACAAUGCUUGGAUUUCUGAUGUACUUCUUGCAGAAGUUAUGGUGAUUUAAGAAUAUUUUUUUCAAGGUUAGAUUCCAAACUGAAGUAGAUAUCCAUAGGAUCAAAUGGAGACAGAGAGGCUGUGCAAAAUUGUGGGGAGAUCCCAUGCAG